rnacentral:rRNA from 1 species
UACGUAGGGGGCAAGCGUUGUCCGGAUUUAUUGGGCGUAAAGAGCUCGUAGGCGACUUGGCAAGUCAGAUGUGAAAACUCCAGGCUCAACCUGGAGACGCCAUUUGAUACUGCCAUGGCUUGAGUUCGGUAGGGGACCAUGGAAUUCCUGGUGUAGCGGUGAAAUGCGCAGAUAUCAGGAGGAACACCGAUGGCGAAGGCAGUGGUCUGGGCCGAUACUGACGCUGAGGAGCGAAAGCGUGGGGAGCGAACAGG